CUAUAAAAUCUGAAAAUCCGAAUAUUUAUACACCCUGAAUGUUCCUUAUAUUUUUAUGUUUUAUUUUUAGUACAGGACCUUACAACCAUUCCUUUUAUGAAAAGUACAACUCAUGCUGGAAUUCAAAUGUACACGAUAAUUGUAUCAGUCUUGGUUGUCGUAUUAAUUGCUGCUUUAGUUUUCAUCAUAGUUGUUUUCUAUAGAAGAAGAAACAAAGCGAUGAAUUCGAAACCAUGUGAAAUUCAGCAAAAUCAAAUUGAUACAGAUAGGAUCUAUUUUUCGGACAGUAACAUAGAAAAUUACACUGAAAUGACAGAAAUCAGUAUUCCCGUGGUAUAUGAGAACAUAAAUGAUAAUAAAACAAUUACUUGUGAACCGCAAAACAUUACAGGUUCAAUUCAACAGAAAGGGAACAAUUGCAAGAACUACGAAUCAUUAUCAUCCAAGAGAAACUCAGUUGAACAUAUGUACGAAUCUUCAGAAAAUGUAUCAAAGGAAACGGACUUAUCUCAAUAUCAAUCGCUUACAAAUCCUCUUGAAUCUGAUAUCCACACUUAUGCAUCGACGGGAAAAGACUUAUCUCAAUAUCAGUUGCUUACCAAUCCACCUGAAUCUGAUAUCCACACUUAUGCAUCAACGGAACCGAAAUUAUCUCAAUAUCAAUCGCUUACCAUUCCACCUGAAUCUGUUAUCCACACUUAUGCAUCAACGGAUCCGGACUUAUCUCAAUAUCAAUUGCUUACCAAUCCCUCUGAAUCAGAUAUCCACACUUAUGCGUCAACAUCUUCUAAACAGUGACGUAACAUAAAUGCACCAAAUAAAACACUAAAAACGGUAGCAGAUACAUAAUGUAUAUAAAAAAUGGGCGUAUCAAACCAUUUAAUCUAUUUCGUUUCUGUGAAUGAUACUUUGUGUAAAAAUUACGUGUUCUGUUCUAUUUUAUCGUGAAUUGUCGAUGGAGGAUCAAUAUUUAUCGGUCAUCGGCUCAUUAAUGCUUAGAACGAUAUCAUGAUAAAAAAAAUCAUUUACAUUUAAACCAUGA